GGUGGCGGUGCGUGGACAGGCGGUGGCGGAUGCAUCGCUGAUGAAGGAGAAUGAGGAGCUGCGAUCAGAGUUAACGAAGAUGAAGAUGUAUAUGACGGACAUGCAGAGGAGCCAGGGAGGAAGUGGGAGCAAGGGGGCUAAGAAGGCAACGUUUUUGUCGACGGUGUCACGGUCGUUCAGUAAGCUUAUCGGCCGGGUUGGGACGAAAGACACCACGAAUAUCGAGGAUGGCGGGGCUUUGGUU
rnacentral:misc_RNA from 1 species